rnacentral:rRNA from 1 species
AUUGAACGCUGGCGGCAGGCUUAACACAUGCAAGUCGAGCGAGCGGCGGACGGGUGAGUAAUGUCUGGGAAACUGCCUGCUGGAGGGUGAUAACUACUGGAAACGGUAGCUAAUACCGCAUACCAUCAGAUGUGCCCAGAUGGGAUUAGCUAGUAGGUGGGGUAAAGUCUAACCAAGGCGACGAUCCCUAGCUGGUCUGAGAGGAUGACCAGCCACACGGGAACGGAGACACGGUCCAGACUCCUACGGGAGGAAGAAGUGGGGAAUAUUGGACAAUGGGCGCAAGCUUGAUGCAGCCAUGCCGCGUGUAUGAAGAAGGCCUUCGGGUUGUAAAGUACUUUCAGCGGGGAGGCGUUACCCGCAGAAGAAGCAACGGCUAACUCCGUGCCAGCAGCCGCGGUAAUAC